rnacentral:snoRNA from 1 species
UGAUAAAUGAUGAUAAAAAAAUUCUCAAAAUGUUCGCAGUUGAGAGCUUAAAAACUCCAUGAAGAAUAUUUGUAGCCUUCACUUAGAUGUCUGAUACAAAGCA